UUUAUGGAGAGUUUGAUCCUGGCUCAGGAUGAACGCUGGCGGCGUGCCUAAUACAUGCAAGUCGAGCGAACAGAUAAGGAGCUUGCUCCUUUGACGUUAG
rnacentral:rRNA from 1 species